rnacentral:lncRNA from 1 species
AUGAAGCCAUUCCAUGGUGCCAUUGCUGUGUUCUGUCUCUAUGGUGUCUGUUCUGUCUUGUUCUUAGGUGGAUUUUGCAAAAGGUGGGGAAAGCAACCAGAGAGAGAGAGAGUCAUUGCCAGCAGCCAAGUUAAAAGAAGCAUCAGCACCACCCUGCCUGACCUGGCCCAACAGAUAGAUACUAAGAUGCCAUGUUCUACUGUGACAAGGGAGCCAUGCUAUCUGGAGUUAACUUAGGAGGAAAAAGGCUCUUCUAGGAAAUGAGGGUAAUAUAAAACAAAAGACAUCAAUAAAAACAACUUUAAAAGAAAAAAGGCCCA